rnacentral:rRNA from 1 species
GACAGGGGGCGCAAACGUUGUUCGGAAUCACUGGGCAUAAAGCGCACGUAGGCGGCUCGUUAAGUCACUUGUGAAAUCCCCCGGCUCAACCGGGGAACGGCAUGUGAUACUGGCGAGCUCGAGGACGGUAGGGGUGAGUGGAACUCCAGGUGGAGCGGUGAAAUGCGUAGAUAUCUGGAGGAACACCGGUGGCGAAAGCGGCUCACUGGACCGUCUCUGACGCUGAGGUGCGAAAGCUAGGGGAGCAAACGGG